CACACACAUACUAGCACACACAAGCUUGCAAUGACACAGACUUAUCCACACACGCACAGACACUGCAUGUCGUUGACACACAUACAAACCUGCAAGCACACGCACAAGAACACACACAGUCACACAGUCACACAGGCAGGCCAUCAGUGGGGGCGAUGGCAGCAGACGGUGACAGAAGGCUUGUCAGAGGAGCCCGAUAUGGGGGAGUCAGCUCUAACCAUGUUGCUAACUUGGGCCACUAAUGCCCUUCUCCAUCCCAGGGAAACAUCCAGGGACAUCCCAUAAUGUGAGCAGCACCGGAGAACAAACCUCACCCCGGAGACUGGAGCUUCAGCUCGGCAACACCCCACCCGAAAUACCCCAUGAGGUGGAUAAAGCUCUGGGCUGUCCGCACCUUUCUGCUGAAUGUUGAUGCUGGACUCCAAGAAGCACUCGGAGAAGACUACAGAUCCCAGGUCCCCUCUGCCCCGCUGGAGGUCUGGGAUGUCCGCUACAGUCAUGGAGGCCUGCAGGGUACCGACAAGGGACAGGAGGAGAACCCAGCAUGCUUCCUCUAUCCUCUACUGAGCUGCACCCUUGAGAAGCAGUACCUUGGAUGAGCUGGACGAACACGAGAAGCACUUGAUGCCUGCCAGGACGGCCUGCACGACGGCAG